rnacentral:rRNA from 1 species
UACGUAGGCAGCGAGCGUUGUUCGGAGUUACUGGGCGUAAAGCGUGCGUAGGCGGUCCCACAAGUCUGUUGUGAAAUCUCCCGGCUCAACUGGGAGGGUGCGGUGGAAACUGUGGGGCUGGAGUGUGGGAGAGGUAGGCGGAAUUCCUGGUGUAGCGGUGAGAUGCGUAGAUAUCAGGAGGAACACCUGCGGUGUAGACGGCUUACUGGACCACUACUGACGCUGAGGCACGAAAGCGUGGGGAGCAAACAGG